rnacentral:lncRNA from 1 species
UUAGAUGACUUCAUACUAGAACGUAGGCACUGUAGGUAGUCUACAGUCUAAAGCAGGAGACCGUUACUGUAGAUAGUCUACAGUCUAAAGCAGGAGACAAGGAGACAGUUACUGUAGAUAGUCUACAGUCUAAAGCAGGAGACAGUUACUGUAGAUAGUCUACAGUCUAAAGCAGGAGACAAGGAGAGAGUUUGAUUUGUGUCUGUGGGUUUUGGAAACAGUUAGGGAAAGUGAUAUUGAAUUUUGUUAUCAAUGUUCAUAAACUUCAAUCAAUCUACUCAGUCUGCAACCCAGAGUUUGUAAAGUUCUGGUUUAAAUGAAACAGACAGAAUUCUCAGCUUACAAAAGUCAAAAUGUUUAUUCACGAG